AGCGAACGCUGGCGGCAGGCCUAACACAUGCAAGUCGAACGAACCUUUCGGGGUUAGUGGCGGACGGGUGAGUAACACGUGGGAACGUGCCUUUAGGUUCGGAAUAACUCAGGGAAACUUGUGCUAAUACCGAAUGUGCCCUUCGGGGGAAAGAUUUAUCGCCUUUAGAGCGGCCCGCGUCUGAUUAGCUAGUUGGUUGAGGUAAUGGCUCACCAAGGCGACGGUCAGUAGCUGGUCUGAGAGGAUGAUCAGCCACAUUGGGACUGAGACACGGCCCAAACUCCUACGGGAGGCAGGAGUGGGGAAUCUUGCGCAAUGGGCGAAAGCCUGACGCAGCCAUGCCGCGUGAAUGAUGAAGGUCUUAGGAUUGUAAAAUUCUUUCACCGGGGACGAUAAUGACGGUACCCGGAGAAGAAGCCCCGGCUAACUUCGUG
rnacentral:rRNA from 1 species